UGGGGAAUAUUGCACAAUGGGGGAAACCCUGAUGCAGCGACGCCGCGUGAGUGAAGAAGUAUUUCGGUAUGUAAAGCUCUAUCAGCAGGGAAGAUGAUGACGGUACCUGAGUAAGAAGCCCCGGCUAACUACGUGCCAGCAGUCGCGGUAAUAGACGACU
rnacentral:rRNA from 1 species